rnacentral:snRNA from 1 species
GAACAUUUGAUCUUUUAGUAUUUAUCCAGCAGGUUUUCUCAAGGAGAAAGCCCCC